UGGGGAAUCUUGCGCAAUGGGGGAAACCCUGACGCAGCGACGCCGCGUGCGGGAUGAAGGCCUUCGGGUUGUAAACCGCUUUCAGCAGGGACGAGGCCUUAUGGUGACGGUACCUGCAGAAGAAGCUCCGGCUAAAUACGUGCCAGCAGCCGCGGUAAUACGUAUGGAGCAAGCGUUAUCCGGAUUCAUUGGGCGUAAAGCGCUCGUAGGCGGUCUGUUAGGUCGGCAAGUUAAAUCCGGGGGCUCAACCCCCGUCCGCUUCCGAUACCGGCAGACUUGAGUUUGGUAGGGGAAGGGGGAAUUCCUAGUGUAGCGGUGGAAUGCGCAGAUAUUAGGAAGAACACCGGUGGCGAAGGCGGCCUUCUGGGCCAUAACUGACGCUGAGGAGCGAAAGCUAGGGGAGCGAACAGG
rnacentral:rRNA from 1 species